GGACACCUUUUCUCCCAGAAAGAUGUUGUUUCCUAGAGAUGAUGCAGAUAUGCUUUUUGAUGACCGAGACAGGUGGGUCUCAUAAACUUUUAUUGUUAGUACACAAGUCACUUUUGUGAUCCUGACAGAUCUAUGUAUAUUUAAGUGCAGGCCGCCCCCUUGUGGAGAACACUGGUGGUGGUUCUGUUAAUAUCUAUUUGUAUCAAUUGUUAAACAUUUAAAAUAGGAUAUUUUGAGCCUUUUUCUGGAAGAAUCCAACAUACUUUGAUGUACUUGUUAUACUUGAGUCAUUUGAAUCAACACUUUGAUAUCCAAUCCGACCCGUAUCUCCAGGAGAUCUGGACUUCAGACGAGGCAGUGGGGUGACAUUGAGUUCACAAACAGAUAUGCUGAACUUCUGAAAUCCAAAGCUAAAAUCACAUCCAUCUGCGCCCUCCUGAAACGCAUGCAAAGCAGCAAGAAAAGCGGCGUCGGUGGAGAAACAGACAGACUGAUUUCCCUGAUGAGACUGUAUUCAUGUCCAAACGUGUACCAGUGAAGACUGUGACUUCAUGUCCAAGAAACCUGCAUGAAGACAACAACUUCACAAUGUCUGAAUCAGUUUUAACAUGUUUGAGACAAACUGUUUGUAUAUAUUUGAAUCCAAUUGUGUCUCAUAAAACUGCAGAUUCAGUAGCAUCUCAGAUGCAAAAUAAACUCUGGACUUAAGAAUAGCGUCUUGUCUUU
ensembl:lncRNA